AUGCAGUUCUGAAUUGGUCUUUUGAGCUUUUAGCUAUCGCCAAAGCCUCUGACUGUUCUUCUCUCAAGGCACUUCACUGGGCCUGACUGCAGAAGCACUGCCUGGAGGUGUAGGAAACAUCUCACAAAAAUGGAGCUGAAGGCCAUGGUCUCGGAUGAAAGAGGACAGAGCUCAAAAUAGGUGGCACCAUUCCAUGAUCUGGCAGCUGGAGCAGCAGGAGGGGAGGGGCCAAGUGGAUGCCAGGAACCUGAUAGCCAAUGGAAAGGAAAGAUAAGGAGGA
rnacentral:lncRNA from 1 species